AGUGAAUUCGUAAAUAUUAUUAAUAAAUAUUUAUGAGCCAUGUAACAGUCAUAUUUUAGUGAUGUCGUAAACAGUGGUCUUGGAAACAAUCUAGGACUAAUUUAAAACAAAUUAUAACAACCAAACACAGUUUGAGCCUUAAAUCACGUCCACGAAACAUAAAAAAAAAUGUGUUAGAAACAAUCUAGGACUAAUUUAAAACAAAUCAGAAAGUUUGAGAAAAAGUUGAAAAAUUGAGAAACAGAGAUCACAUGACUGUGUGACAUAGCCCAAACCGCAUGGAACUUGCACCUAACGUAAUAAACCAGACAUACCAUUUCAUUAAUAAAACAUUCUAACAAAUAUGCCAUUUUAGGCACCUCAAAUCAUACCCAUUCAUAAUGAACUACAUGCACAUCAAACAUAUAAGUGUAUAUAUAUAGAUUGAGUCAUUCAUUCACAACCAAGAACUAAACUUGAUUUUACAAUUGUCGAACUUCCAUUUAUAAACAUAAACUAGAUGCCAUAAUAUGUACAUAAAUUAACAAAAAAAAAUGACCUAUAUACAUGCCACAAUUAUCCACAACAACUACAAAAGUUCUACCGAAUAAAAAUAAUGAUAGGUGUGAGCUUCCUUGCUGAUCCGAUUGACACGUUCUAAGUUCUAAAAAUCUACAAAAACAGAUAAAAAGUAGUAAGUAUACCAAAUAUUCAAAAAUAAUUCAAAUUGAUCCAUUUAAAUAAUUGCAAUACUCAACAUCUACCAAAAGAACUUGAUCCAUAUACAACCCUCAACCAUUUAGCAAUGCUAUUCACAUUAUUAAUAUAACCCUCAACCAUUUAGCAAAUCUUCCAUUCAUCAAUUAGAUGAUUAUGAAAUCAAAGUUCAAUUUCAUGAGAGAUUUAAUUUCAACUUUUGUUAACAUAUCUUUAAUAUUUAACCUACAAGUAUUUCUGAUGAAAGUUCGUAAUUCAAUAAAAUAUACAGAUAUAACAGAAAUAUUCAGUUUUCCCAAAUGGGUCAACCUACGCAAAUAAUUACCUGGCCAGGGCUUAUUAUUCUGUAUUCUCCAGUUUGCAACAAAUGCGAGAACUGGGAACCUAAAUCCAUAUUCACCAGUCCGCAACAUGUGAAAGCACUGGGAACCUAAUUCCGUAUUCACCAAUCUGCAAGAAAUGCAAGAGCUGGGAACCUAAAUUUGUAUGCACUAGUUUGUAUAUGAGCAGUUACAACUUUCAUCGGAUUAUACAGAGAGGAAAUUAUAUAUAUUUAAUAUCUAUAUUGAAUGAUAAAAAAAUACAUAUAACUAAAAAUAAAGAAUAAAUUUCGGUAAGUAUUAACUUACAUGUCAACUUCGUAAUUGACUGUCUAACAAGGUCACUCGAUGGCUUUUCCCUUUUCACGUAUUUCUUUUGGUAGUUGAACUUCUUAAUCUAUAGCAUAAUUUAAUUUAAUUAAAUCCAUUUAAAUCUAUAAUCCAAAAAACUAAUGCAUUUGAAUAUAAUCAUGACAAUCAUUCUUUUAUGCAAUCCAUCAAAUCAUUUAUACUAAAAUUUGAAAUCCAAACCCUUCUCUAAAAUUCAGUUUCCUGAAUGAAAUUUGGAAGUUCUUAGAUUUUGGAACCAAUCGAAGAUACUACUACCAUAUGAGAUUUUCCACCCAUAAUUAUAAGGAACAAAGAAAUUAUUUUAGUUCUAUAUGUUUAAAGUUUGAAAAUUAACAAGUUUUCAUUUUUCAAGAAAAAUAUGUUUAAAAGUAUAAAACAAAAAGAAACAAAUUACACAGAGAUCCAUUAAUAAAGGUAUCAACAGGCUAAAAACAAAUUUACCCAAAGGUACCUACCAGUCGAAUUUCACAAAAUUUAUACUCAGACUAUUUCAAUAUUUUUUUAUCAUAGAAUUUUCGUGAAAUUUUUACUAUUUCAAAAAUAAAUCCCUAAACUCAAAACUAUUCAAAAUCACUUAAUAAAAUAUUUAUUCUUAGCUACUAACUCUAAUAAUCUACUAACUAAAUUCAAAAUACAUCCAUUUCAUUCAUGGUAAAUCUUUAGAGUUUUAACGAUUUUGCAAAAUAACAACCGGGUUAACUAGAUUUAACUAGUACGAACUCAAAGGCCUAAAAAUCAUCAAAAACGGGUAAGAAAUAGCUUACAUGCAAAGCUCAAAACCCCAACUGAACCUUGAAGCUUUCCCCAACAAUGGUAUUCAGCCAACGUAAGAAGAAGAAACCCCCAAAGAUGAAAAAGAUGAGAUUAUUACACCUUUUGUCCCUUACCAUUCAUUAUUUAAUUACUAUAUUACCCUUUAAAAUAA
rnacentral:lncRNA from 1 species